rnacentral:rRNA from 1 species
AUACGUAGGGGGCGAGCGUUGUCCGGAAUGAUUGGGCGUAAAGGGCGCGUAGGCGGCGCGGUAAGUCUGGAGUGAAAGUCCUGCUUUCAAGGUGGGAAUUGCUUUGGAUACUGCCGCGCUUGAGUGCAGGAGAGGUUAUCGGAAUUCCCGGUGUAGCGGUGAAAUGCGUAGAGAUCGGGAGGAACACCAGUGGCGAAGGCGGGUAACUUGACUGCAACUGAAGCUGAGGCGCGAAAGUGUGGGGAGCAAACAGGAUUAGAUACCCUGGUAGUCCACGCUGUAAACGAUGAAUACUAGGUGUGGGGGGACUGACCCCCUCCGUGCCUCAGUUAACACAAUAAGUAUUCCACCUGGGGAGUACGAUCGCAAGGUUGAAACUCAAAUGAAUUUGCGGGG